GGUACCGGUACAGAGUCAAUGUGGAGGCUAUAUACAGGGGUACCGGUACAGAGUCAAUGUGGAGGCUAUAUACAGGGGGUACCGGUACAGAGUAAAUGUGGAGGCUAUAUACAGGGGGUACCAGUACAGAGUCAAUGUGGAGGCUAUAUACAGGGUAUUACGGUACAGAGUCAAUGUGGAGGCUAUAUACAGGGUGUUACGGUACAGAGUCAAUGUGGAGGCUAUAUACAGGGGGUACCGGUACAGAGUCAAUCUGGAGGCUAUAUACAGGGUAUUACGGUACAGAGGCAAUGUGGAGGCUAUAUACAGGGGGUACCAGUACAGAGUCAAUGUGGAGGCUAUAUACAGGGGGUACCAGUACAGAGUCAAUGUGGAGGCUAUAUACAGAGG
ensembl:lncRNA